GGGUCGAUGUCCGAGUGGUUAAAGGGAGCGGACUGUAAAUCCGUUGGUGUAAUGCCUACGCUGGUUCAAAUCCAGCUCGGCCCA
rnacentral:tRNA from 1 species